rnacentral:rRNA from 1 species
GACGAACGCUGGCGGCGUGCUUAACACAUGCAAGUCGAACGGAAAGGCCCUGCUUUUGUGGGGUGCUCGAGUGGCGAACGGGUGAGUAACACGUGAGUAACCUGCCCUUGACUUUGGGAUAACUUCGGGAAACUGGGGCUAAUACCGGAUAGGAGCUCCUGCUGCAUGGUGGGGGUUGGAAAGUUUCGGCGGUUGGGGAUGGACUCGCGGCUUAUCAGCUUGUUGGUGGGGUAGUGGCUUACCAAGGCUUUGACGGGUAGCCGGCCUGAGAGGGUGACCGGGGACAUUGGGACUGAGAUACGGACCAGACUCCUACGGGAGGCAGCAGUGGGGAAUAUUGCACAAUGGGCGGAAGCCUGAUGCAGCAACGCCGCGUGCGGGAUGACGGCCUUCGGGUUGUAAACAGCUUUCGCCUGUGACGAAGCGUGAGUGACGGUAAUGGGUAAAGAAGCACCGGCUAACUACGUG